UACGUAGGUGGCAAGCGUUGUCCGGAAUUAUUGGGCGUAAAGCGCGCGCAGGUGGUUCUUUAAGUCUGAUGUGAAAGCCCCCGGCUCAACCGGGGAGGGUCAUUGGAAACUGGGGAACUUGAGUGCAGAAGAGGAUAGUGGAAUUCCAAGUGUAGCGGUGAAAUGCGUAGAGAUUUGGAGGAACACCAGUGGCGAAGGCGACUGUCUGGUCUGUAACUGACACUGAGGCGCGAAAGCGUGGGGAGCGAACAGG
rnacentral:rRNA from 1 species